rnacentral:rRNA from 1 species
ACGAACGCUGGCGGCGUGCUUAACACAUGCAAGUCGAACGGAAAGGCCCUGCUUUUGUGGGGUGCUCGCGUGGCGAACGGGUGAGUAACACGUGAGUAACCUGCCCUUGACUUUGGGAUAACUUCAGGAAACUGGGGCUAAUACCGGAUAGGAGCUCCUGCUUCUUGGUGGGGGUUGGAAAGUUUCGGCGGUUGGGGAUGGACUCGCGGCUUAUCAGCUUGUUGGUGGGGUAGUGGCUUACCAAGGCUUUGACGGGUAGCCGGCCUGAGAGGGUGACCGGCCACAUUGGGACUGAGAGACGGCCCAGACGACUACGGGAGGCAAGAGGGGGGAAUAUUGCACAAUGGGCGGAAGCCUGAUGCAGCAACGCCGCGUGCGGGAGGACGGCCUUCGGGUUGUAAACCGCUUUCGCCUGUGACGAAGCGUGAGUGACGGUAAUGGGUAAAGAAGCACCGGCUAACUACGU